GCUGCUUGCCACUUCCGGGGCUCAGCGCGGAAGGCAGUGCCAGAACAGGCAGAAAGCCUGCCUUAGCACCCACACUGCGCUGCUGACUGGGAGCUGCCGGAGUUCCCACUACAAUAGAAGCCUGCACAGCUGAAAGAGAGAUUCAUCAAUAUACGUCCCCCAAACUCACUGGAGAGCCAUGCCUGGAACAUAGAUAUUUUGGCAAAGCUGUCUAUACAUGAGAAUAAAACCUGUAACUGUGGAAAACUUUUCUGCAAUUAUAGCAAUGGUCUUCUUGAACAGCUGUUAAGCAGCUAAGACUUUAUGGGCCUGAUUUUCAACUGGACCUCAACCUGGACACUACUUUUCCUGGAUAUUCGCACUUCACACUGCUGAUAUGAGGAAAGGAAAAAAGCUGUACCACUUUCGUUUUUCCCACCCCCAAUAAUUUGAGACUAACUAAAAAAAAAUGUUUUCUCUUUAUCAAUAUUUACUUUCUAUCACUCUAUGAAAUUAUCACAGUGGUUGAAUGCUGAAUGAAUCACGAGAGGAGAAUGGAAGCAUUUCAGAAAAUUCUUAGCACAUGGACCUAGAGGUUGUUUUGUUGAACUUUUUGAUCUAUAAAUCAAUUACUCAUUCAACAACAGAAUAUGUAUAUUAUAUAACCUUUUAUAACUGUGUAUGCAUUCCUUUAUAUUUAAUAUAUUUAUAAUCCAUAAAGGAAUGCAUACAGAGACAUAAAAUAAUACAUAAUAAUAAAACUACACUGUAUAGCUAAUGAAACUAGUUCAUAAUAAGAAUCAAUGUUUUGCAGAAAUAAUUUGUUAUAUGUUUAUCUGAUGGAAAAUUCACAAAUUCCAGAUAUUGCAAGUACAACUACUGCCCUGUAACUGAUAUAGAUAAACAUUUUCCAAAUGCAAAUAAGCAAUUAUUUCACAACUAAAAAAAAUAAAUAGCAUUAAUUUUUGUAAAUUAAAGUAAGUGAAUAACAAGACAAAUCCCAAGAGGAGGAAAUGUAUUCAUUCAGAUUACUUGUAGAAUGCAGAAUGGCAUAAAUAUAAAGGGAAGGGUAAACAGCUUUAAAUCCCUCCUGGCCAGAGGAAAAAACCCUUUCACCUGUAAAGGGUUAAGAAGCUAAAACAACCUUGCUAGCACCUGACCAAAAUGACCAAUGAGGAGACAUGUUACUUUCAAAGCUGGAGGGGGUGGGGGGGGAACAAAGGGUUCUCUCUGUCUGUGUGUUGUUUUUGCCGGGACCAGAGCAGGAAUGCAGGUCAGAACUCCUGUAAAAAGUCACUAAGCAAUCUAGUUAGAUAUGCAUUAGAUUCUGUAUUGUUUAAAUGGCUGAUAAAAUAAGUUGUGCUGGAUGGAAUGUAUAUUCCUGUUUUUGUGUCUUUUUGUAACUUAAGGUUUUGCCUAGAGGGAUUCUCUAUGUUUUGAAUCUGAUUACCCUGUAAGGUAUUUACCAUCCUGAUUUU